AUGAGCAGAGGGCUUUGCAAACUGGAAGAAAGAACAAGACAAAAGCACAGAUGAGAUAGGAAAGAGCUUUGCCCCAUAUUCCUGCAGCCAACCCACUUGCAAAGAGUAUUUCCAAGGCUUGUUAUUCCCAUGCAAGAUCCCAGCAACAGUACAGAACUCACUGAAGAUGUGUGAUAUGGAAUCACUUCCCCAGCAGACUGAUCCUGCCCCCAGAAACUUGCCAUUAAAGGUAAUCCCUGGAAAGCUGAAGGUACAGAACCCACGAAGAAACAGCACAGCUCAUCAACACAGGAGCCAGGACUAUGAGAUUUCCAAGGCCAAGGCACCAGUGCAUAACACAAGAAGGUAGAGGGGGAUCAUGGAAGUGAGAGAGAGCAGCAGUGUGGUUUGGAGAGCCUCAGUGGGAGCACUGAACUGGGGAGAACCAUUCCUAAGCCAUGACAAUACACAUACAGGAAAUACUUUCAGGAUUUUUUUCUGUUUGGGGGGACACAACCACUGAUGGAAUGAACAUAAAGGAUUUCUACUGCAUGACCCACACAAAAAGCUCUAUAGCUAACCAUCUCCAUCCAAGAAUGCAAAUAUCCCAGGAUCAGGAAAGCACACUGGCUGACACUACUGGUUCCGGCAUACAGGUACAGAGAAGACAACUUUGCCCUGCAAUUCGUACUUCUUGAACAACCUGCCUCUUAUAUGCAGUCACUGAUUAUAGAAUAAAUAUAUCAAAGGGAACAAACUUAAAUAGUAAAUAUUUGACAAAAUAUGCAUAACUAUUCCAGUUAAUAUAGCAAACAGGUCCUCUUAACAUCAAAACUCCACAAAAUCACAACUAGCAUAACUACUUCUUGG